GACGUAGGAGGCGAGCGUUAUCCGGAUUCACUGGGCGUAAAGCGCAUGUAGGCGGAUGUCUAAGUCGUGUGUUAAAGCCCCUGGCUCAACUGGGGAGGGUCACGCGAUACUGAUCGACUCGAAGGCAGGAGAGGGUAGUGGAAUUCCCGGUGUAGUGGUGAAAUGCGUAGAUAUCAGGAGGAACACCAAUGGCGAAGGCAGCUCGCUGGGACGGUACUGACGCUGAGACGCGAAAGCGUGGGGAGCAAACAGG
rnacentral:rRNA from 1 species